UGGGGAAUAUUGCACAAUGGGGGAAACCCUGAUGCAGCGACGCCGCGUGAGCGAAGAAGGCUUUCGAGUCGUAAAGCUCUGUCCUAUGAGAAGAUAAUGACGGUAUCAUAGGAGGAAGCCCUGGCUAAAUACGUGCCAGCAGCCGCGGUAAUACGUAUGGGGCGAGCGUUGUCCGGAAUUAUUGGGCGUAAAGGGUACGUAGGCGGUUUUUUAAGUCAGGUGUCAAAGCGUGGAGCUUAACUCCAUUAAGCACUUGAAACUGAAAGACUUGAGUGAAGGAGAGGAAAGUGGAAUUCCUAGUGUAGCGGUGAAAUGCGUAGAUAUUAGGAGGAAUACCAGUGGCGAAGGCGACUUUCUGGACUUUUACUGACGCUCAGGUACGAAAGCGUGGGGAGCAAACAGG
rnacentral:rRNA from 1 species